UGACAUGUGACUCAUUCAUGUCCAAAACUCAUCAUUGCAAAGACCAUGAAAUCCUUAUGCAGUUCAACGGCUGCAAUUAUCUUUGCCAUGACAUUGAUCCUUUCAAUUGGGGUGAUUUUGUCCCAAUCUAGGACUCACCCUUCUUCUUCACCCUCAGUUUCAAAAAUGUCACAAUCCUCAAAAUCUCUUUCAGAUUCACUUUUUCACAUAGAAGACCAAAAAUCAACUGAGGAACCUGUGGUAGCUGCUAGCCUUAAAAGGAUACCACCUAGCACACCAAAUCCUAUACAGAACUAGUAUGAUUUCCCUUUUCUUCACCGUGUUAUUUUUAUGAUAAAAUCUAGAAAUUGACAGAAAAAGGGUGCAUGUGCAGCAGGUUGAAGCCUAUGAAAAGGAACUAAAGAGAGGAAUUGAUGGCAUGGAUUGGAGUAUAUAUGAAGAUUCAAAGCCGUGGCAUGAACUCUGUUGGUCUCUAGUUUCUAUUUUUUAUUUUUAUUUUUCAGUGUUUUACUGUUUCAACAGCUUCAAAUUAUUAGGGUUUUUUUUAGUGAGAGUGGUAUAGUUCAUGACUUUAGAAUUUAUAUUGCUCUUUAUUUUCUCUUAACUUUGAUGUUUUAGAUUGGAGAGAAUAUAUGAACCUAUGAUGUAAAGGGGAAAAACAAUAGCCAUGUGUUAAUGGUGAUAACUUUAUGAGUUUUUUUUCUUCUGAAUUUUGAAGAUUUUUAAGUUGAAAAGAUAAUUUUUACAGUGAUUUUAAC
rnacentral:lncRNA from 1 species